GCGACUGCUACUGUUGGUGCGGGAGCAGGGGUAAUACAGGGGGUGCGAGCGGUUAUCGGAUUUACUGGGCGUAAAGCGUGUGUUGGUGGUUGUUCAAGUCGGUUGUGAAAUCCCUGGGCGCAACGUGGGAACUGCUUCCGAGACUGAACGACUAGAGAUCGGUAGAGGGCGGUGGAAUUUCCGGUGUAGCGGUGAAAUGCGUAUAUAUCGGAAGGAACACCAAUGGCGAAGGCAGCCGCCUGGGCCUGAUCUGACACUGAGACACGAAAGCGUGGGGAUCAAACAGGAUUAGAUUAGUC
rnacentral:rRNA from 1 species